rnacentral:lncRNA from 1 species
CCUGAGUGGGAAAUGGAGCUCGCCGGACCCCGAGGCCACCCUGUAAGCAGGGUAGUGCCGUUUCCCUGCCCCUCUUCCUCCCCCGGCCCCUCGGCAUCGUUGCCUGAUGGUGGCUUGUCAACGCGACGGCCCCGUACUCGGGGUGUGUGUCCCAAGCUUUGGAGCCCUCUGUCCCUGAGCAGCCCGCCCGCCCUGUAAUCAGGUGUGGGGAGGCUGCAGCGUUGCAGCCGGCUGCUUUAGCCGUCCAGCUGGUGGGAGUGACCCCUCCCUGUCCCGUCAGAGGGUGCAGGUUGAGGUGCUGUUUGUGUGUGGGGUGACCUCCCCGCUCGGUGGGUCGAGGUAGCUCCCUGGGCUUCCAAAGACGAGGCGUUGGUGAUGUUCUGCUGCUGCCGGGCGGGCCAGCCUGUAACUCAGGCGUUGGCGGGAGCCUCGUGCUCCGCGGGGCUUCUUGAAGAGGGUGAGGUGUGGGGGUACCGUCCUGUAGGCAGGGCUGUGUGUGCCCCCCGUGUGUGCUCGGUGAGCUGUGUUCUGAGAGACCCCCUGUACUCAGGUGGGAAUGUGGCCCUGGCCUUUCAGAGGCGCGGGGCCGUGAGAUGCGGGGUGGGGCUUGCGCCCUCCCUGGAAUCGGGGCUGGGAUCCCGACUGCGGCCUUUGGCCGUGCCGCCCCGCUGCCUGGCUGCUGAGAGUUGCUCCUGCCGCUGGGGGGGAAACCGAGCUCUGUGGCUCCAGGGGUGUUGUCCACCCGCCUGUAAUCAGGGUCUGGGUGCGUGAGCGUUUGUGCUCUGCUGGCAGCCUGUGUGGGGUGACCGCCCCGCUAGCGGGGUGUGGGUCGAGGUGCCCCGGACUGGGAGAGAAGGAGCCUCCCUCGGCCGUAGGGAUGGGGGUCGCCCUGUAAGUCAGGGAGCAUCUGUGUCCCGGAGUCCCAGGCCCUUUUCAAUGGCGGCAGUGGCCGGGGGUCCCCUGUAAGCAGGGAAGCUGACUCUUUGGCUGCUGCUUUUUGUGUGCCCAGCCCCAUUUGCCCGGUCUGCCCGCCUCUGUGAUCCCCCGCAGCACUGGCUGGAAGUCCGCCG